rnacentral:rRNA from 1 species
CAAUAGCGUAUAUUAAAGUUGUUGCAGUUAAAAAGCUCGUAGUUGGACCUUGGACCUGGACAGGCGGUCCGCCUCACGGCGUGUACUGUCUUGCUGGGUCUUUCCUCUUGGUGAUCUGUUGUUUCGGCAGCAGGGAACCAGGACUUUUACCUUGAAAAAAUUAGAGUGUUCAAAGCAGGCUCGACGCCGGAAUAUAUUAGCAUGGAAUAAUAAAAUAGGACGUGCGGUUCUAUUUUGUUGGUUUUUGGAAUCGCCGUAAUGAUUAAUAGGGACAGUCGGGGGCAUUAGUACUCACAUGCUAGAGGUGAAAUUCUUGGAUUUUGUGAAGACUAACUUCUGCGAAAGCAUUUGCCAAGGAUGUUUUCAUUAA